rnacentral:rRNA from 1 species
GACGAACGCUGGCGGCGUGCUUAACACAUGCAAGUCGAACGGAAAGGCCCUGCUUUUGUGGGGUGCUCGAGUGGCGAACGGGUGAGUAACACGUGAGUAACCUGCCCUUGACUUUGGGAUAACUUCAGGAAACUGGGGCUAAUACCGGAUAGGAGCUCCUGCUGCAUGGUGGUGGUUGGAAAGUUUCGGCGGUUGGGGAUGGACUCGCGGCUUAUCAGCUUGUUGGUGGGGUAGUGGCUUACCAAGGCUUUGACGGGUAGCCGGCCUGAGAGGGUGACCGGCCACAUUGGGCCUGAGAUACGGCCCAGACUCCUACGGGAGGCAGCAGUGGGGAAUAUUGCACAAUGGGCGGAAGCCUGAUGCAGCAACGCCGCGUGCGGGAUGACGGCCUUCGGGUUGUAAACCGCUUUCGCCUGUGACGAAGCGUGAGUGACGGUAAUGGGUAAAGAAGCACCGGCUAACUACGUG